AAUAUGUACGAGGUGGAAGCGUGGUGACACGUGGAGCUGACGAAUACUAAUCGAUCGAAGACUUAAUCAAUUU
rnacentral:rRNA from 1 species